rnacentral:lncRNA from 1 species
UCGUCGUGAGCUUUCCAAAAAGUCCAAAAACGUCCAAAUCCGAGUUGGUAUGCAAAAGAUACGUCCGUUUUACUGAACACGGGUCAAACCCACCCGAAACUAAAAUUCUACUCGGACUCGGGUCCGAAACUGACUCGAACUCUUUCUCUCUUUUUUUUUUUCCGUUUUUUUUUUUUCUUUCUUUCUUCCUUUUUUUUUUCUUUCCCUUCUUUUUUUUUCACAACUUUCCGAACAACUUGAUCUCUAAACAAAAAUCGAUCUAUUAUGAAACACUUUCCAAAAGCACUCUUGAUUGGACUCGGACUCGAACUCGCGGCUGAAAACUAUAACUUGCCGACUCGAUGUAGGACUCGGUGUAGGACUCGAAGAGGGACUCGGUGUAGGACUCGAAGAGGGACUCGGUGUAGGACUCGAAGAAGGACUCGGUGUAGGACUCGAAGAGGGACUCGGUGGAAGAUAUGGUGGCGGCGGAAGAUUAUGGCGGUGGUGUGGCAGGAAGUUUGGCGGCGGAAGAUUGAUGAAGGAAACCUGCGUCACACGAAGAACAAGAAAACCAAAAGCAAGUUCGAUCUAGUAGAAAAAAUCUGAAAAACGAUCCAAUCUAAUCCAGCAACUCGACACGAUUAAUGCAGCAAAGAUUGAACAAUGCAAAUACUAAUGUGAAAAUUGCAAGGCUCAGAUUGGUUCUAGGACAAGGUAACUAAUUCUAAUUUUUGUUUGGCUUUUUCUGGACGAUAGGUAAAAACAGAUCUAAACUACGGAUAAACUGGAAAAAUCUCACCGAGCAACCUUAAGCUCUGAUACCACGUGAUAGCCUCGAGGGUGUCCCGAUCUUUCGAUGAGAUACCUAAUUAUCGAUUUGGUAGGAGGUGACGUUGACGAUCCGACUACAACCUAGGAGGCAGCGCCUUAGCGAUCGAUACACCAACUCCAGAAGGUUAUUGAUCCCGCGGGGGCACGAUCAACCUGACC